rnacentral:rRNA from 1 species
GGGGAUACCUCCUUUC